rnacentral:rRNA from 1 species
GACGAACGCUGGCGGCGUGCUUAACACAUGCAAGUCGAACGGAAAGGCCUCUUUCGGGGGGUACUCGAGUGGCGAACGGGUGAGUAACACGUGAGUAACCUGCCCUUGACUUUGGGAUAACUUCAGGAAACUGGGGCUAAUACCGGAUAGGAGCUCCUGCUGCAUGGUGGGGGUUGGAAAGUUUCGGCGGUUGGGGAUGGACUCGCGGCCUAUCAGCUUGUUGGUGGGGUAGUGGCUUACCAAGGCUUUGACGGGUAGCCGGCCUGAGAGGGUGACCGGCCACAUUGGGACUGAGAUACGGCCCAGACUCCUACGGGAGGCAGCAGUGGGGAAUAUUGCACAAUGGGUGGAAGCCUGAUGCAGCAACGCCGUGUGCGGGAUGACGGCCUUCAGGUUGUAAACCGCUUUCGCUCAUGACGAAGCUUUGUGUGACGGUAGUGGGUAAAGAAGCACCGGCUAACUACGUG